CUCUCUGAUCAAAAUACAGCCUGAGUUUCGUCUAAGGAUUCCCAGGUGUUCUUGCAGCUCUACUACGUCAGCAGCUGUUUGGAUAUAUAUAUAAUGGGUGACUUAUAAUAACAACAUGACUCAACAUCGACAUGAGCUGAAGCAAGAGUGAAGGCCCUGCAAGAAGAGAAGAGGGGAAAAAGAAGCACUCAAGUGAAACAGGGUGUUAAGUCUUUUCUGUGAAUCUUUCUGAGCGGGAGCAGCAUUAAUAAAGUAAUUCUUAACAAAGAGAACAAAGGUAGCACCUCUACCACCAAAACAGGAAAUUCCCGCACAAUAAGGAGCUUUUUACAUCGUCAUUGCUCCUUCAGGAUGCAGUUUUACCUGAGAACAUCUGGUGGCACAUGUCUCUAUCCUCUCCAGUCCUGCGCUUCCUGCUGCAACUCCAUUCAGACCCAAACAACACUGAGACAUCAGCUGAGUGGGAGAGUCAGAUGAGGGUCAGCUGUGUGACUGCCUGAUCUGGACAGGUUGUAGUUGGAUGGUCAGGAGGCUGUCCGGUUUGCUUUGUCCUGAGUGUGAUGAUGUCCAGUGUGAGGUGUGUCUGGGGAACAGCCAA